rnacentral:lncRNA from 1 species
GAGAAAAGGGAGAGGAGAGAGAAAGAGUUCAAAAUGUACCUUCCUGUCUCAGGUUGCAGUACCUGGGUUCACUGUAAUGGCAGGGUGGCUGCAUUUAGGUGGCAGUACUUUUAGAGAGUAAAACCUCGUCUUUUAUUGUGUAUUCAAUGAAGCUGCUUCCGGAACGGCUCCUGUAGGGCAGAGAUCACUGACAUCUGUCCUUAUUCAGGCUGAGAUGCCUCAGAACUUGGAGGCAGGAGUGUUUGCCUGAUUCGUCCUGUUUAUACUCCCCUCCAAGGAUCCUUCCCGAUGCAGCAGGUGCGGGCGGCCCCACUUCCAUAGCUUUCUAAGGUUAAUAACAGCUUUCUCCGUUCCGGCCUAAGCUGCUGGAAUUGAGACUGGGCAACAUAAUUUAUUUAUUUAUUUGUUUACCUAUCUAUUUAUCUAUUUAGGUUUUUCAAGACAGGGUUUCUCUGUGUAGCCCUGGCUGUCCUGGAACUCUCUGUAGACCAGGCUGGCCUUAAACUCAGAAAUCUGCCUGCCUCUGCCUCCCAAUACUGGGAUUAAAGGCGUGCGCCACCACUGCCGGCCAAUUUUUAAUUUUGAUGUGUAAACAAAGACAUUCACAGACUUCAAGCUCAGCACCUCUCGAGCAAGUUUUGUUGGGAGCCCAGGAGGUGUGAUUCAUUGUCAUGGUAGUCACUGAAUCAUUUGUUUUGUGAAAGUAACUUAACUAAUUUUCUUUCUGAGAAUCUCAUCGGAUCAACAGUGAAAGCCAAACAAGUCCUCUUAGGUCAUUUAUUCAAGGAAGAUUCCCUGCUUGCUUGUGGGUUGUAUGAUGUAGCUCAGUGGUAGAAUUCUCUUCUACCAGCAUGGGGUCCCAACCCCCUCCCCCCACCCACUCAUGCAUGAAUACACAUGUGCACUUCUCCAGGACAAAAUAUCCUUUGGAGUAUAAUUAUUCUCUGGAAAUGACAUUUCACUUGACUUCCCAACAGGAUUAUGGAAAUGUAUCUUUUUGUGAAUCUAUUUAGCUGGUGCUUCAAGCCACAGUUUGAAUCUCAUUUUUGUUUGUUUGUUUGUUUGUUUGUUUUUUGUUUUUGUUUUGUUUUGGUUUUUUUUUGAGACAGGGUUUCUCUGUAUAGCCCUGGCUGUCCUGGAACUCACUCUGUAGACCAGGCUGGUCUUUAACUCGGAGAUCAUCCUGCCCCUGUCUCCGGAGUGCUCAGACUAAAGGUGUGCACCACUACAGCCUGGCUAGUGUAUGAAUUUAACCUAACAUAGUACCCCAUGCUUUGGUUUUGUUUUUGCCAUUUUUUGUGUUGUUACUCUCUUUCCUGGGUUUGAUCUUUCUUUCUGAACAACAACCCUUUAAGGUCCAGUUAGUCUUCCAGCUUUCCUAGAAAUGAGUUAAGAAGAGGUCUAUUUCCUUGGUAGCAACCAAGGAGCAAAUAUAGCGGUUUUGGGGACAAAUUUUCCCUCCUUAUAACUUGGUUAAUUGGUUUUAAAUCUCUUAGAUGCUCUCUGUUUUGUUCAUGAGAAAAAUGUACUUAAGUUCCUUUUGAAAUAUAUUUCAAAUGAGAAUGAGACCUAGUGAGUCCUUGAAUAAUUUCAUACUGAUAUUGCUUUUAAGAAAGAUGAAAGAGCCAGACUUAGUGGCACAUGGCUUUAAUCCCAGCAUUUGGGAGACAGAGGCAGGUGGAUUUCUGUGAGUUCAAGGUCUACAGAGUGAGCUCCCUGUC